rnacentral:rRNA from 1 species
CUCAAAGGAAUUGACGGGGGCCCGCACAAGCGGUGGAGCAUGUGGUUUAAUUCGACGCAACGCGCAGAACCUUACCAGCCCUUGACAUGUCCAGGACCGGUCGCAGAGAUGUGACCUUCUCUUCGGAGCCUGGAGCACAGGUGCUGCAUGGCUGUCGUCAGCUCGUGUCGUGAGAUGUUGGGUUAAGUCCCGCAACGAGCGCAACCCCCGUCCUUAGUUGCUACCAUUUAGUUGAGCACUCUAAGGAGACUGCCGGUGAUAAGCCGCGAGGAAGGUGGGGAUGACGUCAAGUCCUCAUGGCCCUUACGGGCUGGGCUACACACGUGCUACAAUGGCGGUGACAAUGGGAUGCAAAGGGGCGACCCCUAGCAAAUCUCAAAAAAA